UCGAUGCUUCCAUGGUGCUGCUCACACACGGGGGAACCCAACCUCAAGGGUCAGGAUGGGAACACAGCCCUGCAUCUGGCUAUGAAGAUGGACCACAUGGAACUGAUCAAGGCUCUGAUCGUGUUUGAGCCGACGUGGAGAUACACAAUGACCUGGGAGAGACUCCCGGAUUGAUAGCAGCACGCACAAGUAAAGGCGCCAACAGAAAGGUGCUACUGGACAUGCUGUGUAGUGUAGGGGUACAGCGGUGCGCCCCACCCUCCUCCCCCCUCAACUCCCAUCCUCCCCCCAAGAAGGUUGCUUCGUCACCAGGCAUAGG